UAAGUCUGAUGUGAAAGCCAACGGCUCAACCGUGGAGGGUCAUUGGAAACUGGGAAACUUGAAUGCAGAAGAGGUAAGUGGAAUUCCAUGUGUAGCGGUGAAAUGCGUAGAUAUAUGGAGGAACACCAGUGGCGAAGGCGACUUACUGGUCUGUGAUUGACGCUGAGGCUCGAAAGCGUGGGUAGCGA
rnacentral:rRNA from 1 species